UCUAGCAGAGAUAAACAGAAGCUGAGUCUUCUCUGCUCCACAUGACGCGCUCAAAGGGAAUUUAACAUCGUUUCCCAAAACCUCAGAGAUCAUCAGUCCACAGACAGAGCCGCUGGCAGAGAGCAGGAUCAGUGUAGAGAGGAGACGAAGCGCCAUCAUCUGUGUUCAGUCAGGGUUGGUGUGACCAGAGAGGCUGAGCUCUAUUUAUAUAUGAACCGACGCUUCACAGUGACCUGCCUCCAAUUGUUUAGUUUGCAUGGAAACCACGCCUCCGUAGCUUCUGCAAAGCUCCGUAACUUCGCCCUGGAGCUCCGUAACUUCGGCACGAGCUCCGUAACUUCGGCACGAGCUCCGUAACUUUGCCCCGGAGCUCCGAUACUUCGCUCCGGAGCUAUGUAGCUUCGCCGAAGCUCCGGAGGCUCCGUCUCCCUCUCUCGCUGCAGUCAUUGGCGGAUAUCUGGCUACAAGCCUUGCUUUGCUUUCAGGAGCUCGUGCGGUCUGAGGGCUUUAAUAACAGCAGCGGUGUGGACUGGAGUCAAGGGCGGACUGGCCAUCGGGAGCACCGGGAUGUUUCCCGGUGGGCCGCUGCCUCAGUGGGCCGGUCGGACCACUAGAAGAAAAAAGAAAGAAGUCUGACGCGACACCGCCAACAGCGCUAUGGUCCGCUCCACAAGGAGGCGGGGCUGUCAGCUGGACAGCUCCUGAUGCCAUAGGCUGGUUUACCUGGGAUUGCUGCUAAUAGCCAAUCACAUUUCAUCCCUGCGGCGGUUAAGUCCCACCCACUCCCUCACUCCGCAGCUGCUGUCACCUGUCAAUCACACACAGCCCAGACGGACAUCUGACGGCAACUUUGGAUGGAUGCAGGAAUGCGCAAAAUAUGGAGAAAAACAAAACAAAACAAAACGAAAAGGUGGCGCUGAGAAGCUCAGGGACAAAAAGAGAAAAUCCCUUCAUGACCGGCAAAUUAAAUGUAACCCACAUGUGGACAGAGAAGUGAAUCCCAGACUUGUUACGGCCGGCAUGUGUUCCAGAGGGGACCCGGAGAGGACUGUAAUCCACAUUGUGGAUGGUUGUGAACAUUUUAACACAAUUGACUGACAAAGGUUAAGGUUUAUAACUAACUAUAAGUUUUUAUAUUGUAUUAUUGUGUAUAGUUGUUUGUAUAAUAGCUGCACAGUUUUUAUUUUAUAUAAAGGAUAAGUUAUCACAUGAUUGUAUAUAGCUGUUUGUAUAGUUGCUUGCUGUGUAGUUUAUGUAUCUAUAAUAUAUAUAGAAAUAAUAUUUACAUCUAUAUUGUUCAUCUAUUUUUAAAUAAAACAAACUUUGUGAAAUGAACUUAUUGCUGUAAUUAAGUUGCCCUCUAGUGGUUGACUCAUGGUAUAGACAGGUGGUGUCACUAACAGACUGGCAAAUAGGUAAGCUAAAUUCUAUUGUACCAACAUGCUAUAAAAUCAUAAUAUACCUGCAAUUAUUUUACAGUAAGCUACUUAAAGCUUAAGGUUAAUUAUUAUUAUACGAUUGUGGUCCAAAUUGGUUCUUUUUUCAGCGAGGAACUCAGGAACAUGAAACUUGUGUUGCUGGCUGGUUGGUUGCCACACUACGCAUGAAGUGGGCUGGUCUGUCCAUGUCUCCCGGGCCACUUUUACCCCCCAGUCCGCCCCUGACCAGAACAGUGUCCCUGAAGGAGCAG